GUAUAGGGAGCGUUUCUUCAGGUGUUUUCCUCAGAGCGGGAAAUCAGCGCUCGACCGGGGCGUCUAUAAAUACCGGGGCAGGCAAGUUUGGACUCCGAGAGGGAAAGGUUAGCAUAGUUAUCGUCUACAAAGACAGUCACCACAGCUUGUGUUAAAUGUACUAGAAAUAAGUACAGUUUAGCUUCGGUGUGGCGCGUGUAAACCAAGAGCCGAGACCUUCUUCCGAAGCCUGGACCUGAAUUUACCGAUCAGCGCCGCUCUGCUGCUCUCUGCUGCACACGGAGCUCAGGUGUCAGUGUAUGUUCGGAUCGCGGUUGUCUUGAGAGUGAUCCCCUCGAGGUGCAGAAGAUUCACUUUACCCAAAGCGGUUUCAUCACUUCAGCAGCUCAUCCAGGGAAACUUGGUCGAACGCUUGCCUGCUGAAACUCCAUCACACCCCCUUCAAAGGCUGCACACCAGUCAAGAAAGUAUGCGGAGGAUUUUUCCUGAGCAUUUCCUGGUCGGAUCAGCGAGCCGCAA